GCCAGUGUGGUGUAGUGGUUUGGGUGCUGGACUAUGACUCUAGGGACCAGGGUUCAAACCCCCACUCAGCCA